CUACGGGUGGCAGCAGUGGGGAAUAUUGCACAAUGGGGGAAACCCUGAUGCAGCAACGCCGCGUGAGUGAAGAAGGUCUUCGGAUUGUAAAUCUCUUUCGACAGGGAAGAAGGGUGUCGACAUUAAUACUGCCGAUAUUUGACGGUACCUGCAGAAGAAGCACCGGCUAAUUCCGUGCCAGCAGCCGCGGUAAUACGGAAGGUGCAAGCGUUGUUCGGAUUGACUGGGCGUAAAGCGCACGUAGGCUGGCCAAAAAGUCGGAUGUGAAAUCCCCGGGCUUAACCUGGGAACUGCAUCCGAACUGCUGGUCUUGAAGACCGAAGGGGUUGGUGGAAUUCCAGGUGUAGGAGUGAAAUCCGUAGAUAUCUGGAGGAACACCGGCGGCGAAGGCGGCCAACUGGUGGUGUAUUGACGCUGAGGUGCGAAAGCGUGGGGAGCAAACAGGAUUAGAUACCCGAGUAGUC
rnacentral:rRNA from 1 species